AGAGUUUGAUCAUGGCUCAGAACGAACGCUGGCGGCAGGCCUAACACAUGCAAGUCGAACGCGCGUAGCAAUACGCGAGUGGCGCACGGGUGAGUAACACGUGGGAACCAACCCUGAGGUUCGGAAUAACCGCGGGAAACUGCGGCUAAUACCGGAUAUCCCCUACGGGGGAAAGAUUUAUCGCCUUGGGACGGGCCCGCGUCCGAUUAGCUAGUUGGUGAGGUAAUGGCUCACCAAGGCUCCGAUCGGUAGCUGGUCUGAGAGGACGACCAGCCACACUGGAACUGAGACACGGUCCAGACUCCUACGGGAGGCAGCAGUGGGGAAUAUUGGGCAAUGGAGGCAACUCUGACCCAGCCAUGCCGCGUGGGUGACGAAGGUCUUCGGAUUGUAAAGCCCUUUCGGCGGGGACGAUGAUGACG
rnacentral:rRNA from 1 species